AGACCCGAAACCCGGUGAUCUAGCCAUGGGCAGGUUGAAGGUUGGGUAACACUAACUGGAGGACCGAACCGACUAAUGUUGAAAAAUUAGCGGAUGACCUGUGGCUGGGGGUGAAAGGCCAAUCAAACCGGGAGAUAGCUGGUUCUCCCCGAAAGCUAUUUAGGUAGCGCCUCGUGAAUUCAUCUCCGGGGGUAGAGCACUGUUUCGGCUAGGGGGCCAUCCCGGCUUACCAACCCGAUGCAAACUGCGAAUACCGGAGAAUGUUAUCACGGGAGACACACGGCGGGUGCUAACGUCCGUCGUGAAGAGGGAAACAACCCAGACCGCCAGCUAAGGUCCCAAAGUCAUGGUUAAGUGGGAAACGAUGUGGGAAGGCCCAGACAGCCAGGAUGUUGGCUUAGAAGCAGCCAUCAUUUAAAGAAAGCGUAAUAGCUCACUGGUCGAGUCGGCCUGCGCGGAAGAUGUAACGGGGCUAAACCAUGCACCGAAGCUGCGGCAGCGACGCUGAUGCGUUGUUGGGUAGGGGAGCGUUCUGUAAGCCUGUGAAGGUGUGUCGUGAGGCAUGCUGGAGGUAUCAGAAGUGCGAAUGCUGACAUAAGUAACGAUAAAGCGGGUGAAAAGCCCGCUCGCCGGAAGACCAAGGGUUCCUGUCCAACGUUAAUCGGGGCAGGGUGAGUCGACCCCUAAGGCGAGGCCGAAAGGCGUAGUCGAUGGGAAACGGGUUAAUAUUCCCGUACUUGGUGUUACUGCGAAGGGGGGACGGAGAAGGCUAUGUUGGCCGGGCGACGGUUGUCCCGGUUUAAGCGUGUAGGUGUGUGUUCCAGGUAAAUCCGGUU
rnacentral:rRNA from 2 species